ensembl:miRNA
GGCGGGGAGGGUCAGCUGGUGUUGUGAAUCAGGCCGCUGAGGUGUCGAGACACGGCUUCUUCACAACACCAGGGUUCCUCCUCGC